UAUCGGAGAAUUUCUCUCUCCGUAAUCACCUUACUGUCACGGAUGAGGAUAGGUGGUUGCACAAAC
rfam:Tursiops truncatus cont1.131320, whole genome shotgun sequence.